GUACAUUUCACUAGAUAAAUCAAACAAUAAUAAUAUAUCAAAAAUAAACAUGCAAGGUGCAUCAAAUCAAAAUUCAAUCAAAUAUAGAGCAUUGUCAAAAUAGGAUGCACAUAGAUUCAAUUUUUUUUAAAUUUAUAAUUCAUUCAUAAAUCAAUUUCUUUCAAAACCCUACAUUCAUCUUAACAGUCAUGAACUCAACUAAAGCACCACUGCACAAUCCCCAA
rnacentral:lncRNA from 1 species